CUACUGCAAGCAAGGAAACGCUCUACAUCUUCCACUUACUACAGAAUCUGGGACGUUUUUUCCUCCUGGGCUGCAUCCAACCACAGGAAUAUUCAGUCUAUCUCCACCAAGGAGAUCCUUGAAUUUCUACAAUCCGGUCUUGAUAAGGGUCUUAGCUACAAUACCCUAAAGGUACAUAUUUCAGCUCUUUCGGCCCUUACGGACCAGAGAUGGGCCUUAAACUCAGAUGUG